rnacentral:rRNA from 1 species
GACGAACGCUGGCGGCGUGCUUAACACAUGCAAGUCGAACGGAAAGGCCCUGCUUUUGUGGGUUGCUCGAGUGGCGAACGGGUGAGUAACACGUGAGUAACCUGCCCUUGACUUUGGGAUAACUUCAGGAAACUGGGGCUAAUACCGGAUAGGAGCUCCUGCUGCAUGUUGGGGGUUGGAAAGUUUCGGCGGUUGGGGAUGGACUCGCGGCUUAUCAGCUUGUUGGUGGGGUAGUGGCUUACCAAGGCUUUGACGGGUAGCCGGCCUGAGAGGGCGACCGGCCACAUGGGGACUGAGAGACGGACCAGACUCCUACGGGAGGCAGCAGGGGGGAAUAUUGCACAAUGGGCGGAAGCCUGAGGCAGCAACGCCGCGUGCGGGAUGACGGCCUUCGGGUUGUAAACAGCUUUCGCCUGUGACGAAGAGUGAGUGACGGUAAUGGGUAAAGAAGCACCGGCUAACUACGUG